rnacentral:lncRNA from 10 species
CAACUUUGUAACUUCACCUUAGUCUCUGAGGGCCACAGCUUCAUUUACAUGAGGUGAACACAAAGUGGCCAAUGGGAAAUCUCUAGGGGGUAUUUGGACCUGAGAAGAUUCUAUAUCCAGGCCCUUGAGCUGCUGCCGCUGCCGGCUCCCACACUGUGGAGUGUACUUUCACUUUCAAUAAGUCUCUGCUUUUGUUGUAUCAUUCUUUCCUUGCUUUGCUGUGUGUUUUGUCCAAUUCUUUGUUCAAAAUGCCAAGAACCUGGCCAACUUGGAGUCAAGACCCUCUACCGAACAAAGAAGAAAAAAUUUCUUUUAAAGAAAGGCCAAAGAAUUAUUAUAGAUCUUUUCUUUCGACAUUCCUAAACAAGAACAGGCCUAGAUGGUGUCAUUUUCAAUUCUUGUCCUAACUGGUAUUGUAUGAUUUUUUUGUUUUUAAAUUGCCCUGAAUUUUUGCCCCAUUUUGUUUGUGUUUUGGGUGAACAUUACCUUUACAUAGAAUAACUAAUGUUUCUUAACUGUCUGCUUUAUAUACAAAGUAUUAUUUUGCCUUCUUCUGAGUUUGAUUAACAACUAACUUUAUGUAUGAUAGUAGUUGUUUGGGGAUUUUUCUUUUUGUAAAGAUGGACUAAUAUCUUAGGCCCCCA